rnacentral:rRNA from 1 species
AUUGAACGCUGGCGGAAUGCUUUACACAUGCAAGUCGAACGGCAGCACGGGAGCUUGCUCCUGGUGGCGAGUGGCGAACGGGUGAGUAAUGCGUCGGAACGUACCGAGUAAUGGGGGAUAACGCACCGAAAGGUGUGCUAAUACCGCAUACGCCCUGAGGGGGAAAGUGGGGGAUCGCAAGACCUCACGUUAUUCGAGCGGCCGACGUCUGAUUAGCUAGUUGGUGGGGUAAAGGCCUACCAAGGCGACGAUCAGUAGCGGGUCUGAGAGGAUGAUCCGCCACACUGGAACUGAGACACGGUCCAGACUCCUACGGGAGGCAGCAGUGGGGAAUUUUGGACAAUGGGGGCAACCCUGAUCCAGCCAUUCCGCGUGAGUGAAGAAGGCCUUCGGGUUGUAAAGCUCUUUCAGCAGGAACGAAACGGUACGCGCUAACAUCGUGUGCUAAUGACGGUACCUGCAGAAGAAGCACCGGCUAACUACGUGCCAGCCGCCGCAGUAAUAC